rnacentral:rRNA from 1 species
AUUGAACGCUGGCGGAAUGCUUUACACAUGCAAGUCGAACGGUAGAGGGGGCAACCCCUCGAGAGUGGCGAACGGGUGAGUAAUAUAUCGGAACGUGCCCAGUCGUGGGGGAUAACGUAGCGAAAGUUACGCUAAUACCGCAUACGAUCUAAGGAUGAAGGCGGGGGAUCGCAAGACCUCGCGCGAUUGGAGCGGCCGAUAUCAGAUUAGGUAGUUGGUGGGGUAAAGGCUCACCAAGCCAACGAUCUGUAGCUGGUCUGAGAGGACGACCAGCCACACUGGAACUGAGACACGGUGCAGACUCCUACGGGAGGCAGCAGUGGGGAAUUUUGGACAAUGGACGCAAGUCUGAUCCAGCCAUUCCGCGUGCAGGAUGAAGGCCCUCGGGUUGUAAACUGCUUUUGUACGGAACGAAAAGGUCUCUCUUAAUACGGGGGGCUCAUGACGGUACCGUAAGAAUAAGCACCGGCUAACUACGUGCCAGCCGCCGCCGUAA